UGUUGAAGUAAUCAAUUGAUGGAAAAUUUUUAAUUUUCAUAUAGGGAAACCCCUCUUAACAA
rnacentral:tRNA from 1 species